GACGAACGCUGGCGGCGUGCCUAAUACAUGCAAGUCGAACGAACCAAAUGAAGAAACUUGUUUCUUUACGAGGUGAGUGGCGCACGGGUGAGUAACACGUGGGAAACCUACCCUUUAGCGGGGGAUAACAUUCGGAAACGAGUGCUAAGACCGCAUAGACAAUGAGAUCGCAUGAUCUUAUUGGGAAAAGAGCUACGGCUUUACUAAAGGAUGGUCCCGCGGUGCAUUAGCUAGUUGGUAAGGUAACGGCUUACCAAGGCGAUGAUGCAUAGCCGACCUGAGAGGGUGAUCGGCCACAUUGGGACUGAGACACGGGCCCAAACUCCUACGGGAGGCAGCAGUAGGGAAUCUUCCGCAAUGGGACGAAAGUCUGACGGAGCAACGCCGCGUGUGUGAAGAAGGUCUUCGGGAUCGUAAAGCACUGUUGUUAGAGAAGAAUGCUUAUCAUAGGGAAU
rnacentral:rRNA from 1 species